UUAUGGCCAUAUCAUGUUGAAACACCAGUUCCCGUAUGAACAUGGAAUUUAAGCAACAUCAAGCCUGUUCAAUACUUAGAUGGGUGACUGCAUGGAAAUAUCUGGUGCUGUAAG